rnacentral:rRNA from 1 species
ACGCUCGACACCUACGGAGGCAGCAGUGGGGAAUAUUGCACAAUGGGGGGAAACCCUGAUGCAGCGACGCCGCGUGGAGGAAGAAGGUCUUCGGAUUGUAAACUCCUGUUGUUGGGGAAAAAGAGGAUGGUACCCAACAAGGAAGUGACGGCUAACUACGUGCCACAGCCGACGGUAAUCUGAGCGGGCUGGACAAGGC